rnacentral:rRNA from 1 species
CCUACGGGUGGCAGCAGUGGGGAAUAUUGGUCAAUGGGGGCAACCCUGAAGCAGCAACGCCGCGUGGAGGAUGAAGGUCUUCGGGUUGUAAACUUCUUUUGUUAGAGAAGAUAAUGACGGUAUCUGACGAAUAAUCACCGGCUAACUCCGUGCCAGCAGCCGCGGUAAUACGGAGGGUGCGAGCGUUACUCGGAUUCACUGGGUGUAAAGGGCGCGUAGGCGGGAUAGCAAGUCAGAUGUGAAAGCCUCUGGCUUAACCAUAGAACUGCAGUUGAAACUGUAAGUCUUGAGUGUGGGAGGGGUAGGUGGAAUUCAUGGUGUAGCGGUAAAAUGCGUAGAGAUCAGGAGGAAUACCGAUCGCGAAGGCGACCUGCUGGAACAUAACUGACGCUGAGGCGCGAAAGCGUGGGGAGCAAACAGGAUUAGAUACCCUUGUAGUC